AACGAACGCUGGCGGCAGGCUUAACACAUGCAAGUCGAGCGCCCCGCAAGGGGAGCGGCAGACGGGUGAGUAACGCGUGGGAAUCUACCCUUUUCUACGGAAUAACGCAUGGAAACGUGUGCUAAUACCGUAUGAGCCCUUCGGGGGAAAGAUUUAUCGGGAAAGGAUGAGCCCGCGUUGGAUUAGCUAGUUGGUGGGUAAAGGCCUACCAAGGCGACGAUCCAUAGCUGGUCUGAGAGGAUGAUCAGCCACAUUGGGACUGAGACACGGCCCAAACUCCUACGGGAGGCAGCAGUGGGGAAUAUUGGACAAUGGGCGCAAGCCUGAUCCAGCCAUGCCGCGUGAGUGAUGAAGGCCCUAGGGUUGUAAAGCUCUUUCACCGGUGAAGAUAAUGACGGUAACCGGAGAAGAAGCCCCGGCUAACUUCGUGCCAGCCGCCGCCGUAAAAC
rnacentral:rRNA from 1 species